rnacentral:lncRNA from 1 species
AUGUAAAGCAAAAAGGAGAAAGAGAGGUACGACACGAUUUCGCCGGUGAGUGACCGAUGAUGCCUAACCUAUGCUGGUGAAAGCAUACAGCAGAGUGUUUCAUCCGCCUAUUAGUUCGUCACGAAGAUGAUGCAUGCCGCAUGUGGAGUAAUGAUUUAGGGUUCCAACUGCGGAGUUGCAGCGGCAAGCGUCAGCUUUUGACGGAGGCGGCACCUUCUGCCAUCCUAUGACGAUGACUAUCAAGGUAUUGCAUAAGCUUAGUUGGAAUACAAUGCCCUGAUCUACAAAUAACAGAUACUUGCAAUGACACGACAUGGUCCCAACACCAGUACAAGCAAUCAAGGGAAGAAGAGUGAAAUUACAAAGCCAAACACUAAACGAUGCACGCUCAGGAGCACAAUAAUGCACUGUAAAAUAGCGUCACUGAAGUAGACCCAGAGGCAGGCUCAACGAUAGCAAUUGUCACAACCUUAGCAGCCCCAGCAACACCAAUGGGAGCAAAACAGAUUGUCGCAGCAGCUAAGAAUAUCAUAUUUCCAAAGCCAGGUAGACACAUUUUUUUACACGCUUUAACACGUCGCUAGACAAAAGUUUCUCAAAUGAUUUGCUGAAUAUUUGGACCACGCUUUCAACAUUUAGAUAGUUUUAGAUUAGCUAAUACUUCUGAA